rnacentral:snoRNA from 1 species
CCACUUUCCAUGAUGAAGUAUUUUUCGGAUGUAAACAGCCUACGGGCGAUUGUCCGAGAGCGCAAAAACCCUGUGGACAUUUCCGUUGCCUUCCUUCUGAUCCUGUC